GCGUGAGAAUCUAGCUUCAGGUCAGGGACAACAGAGGGAAACCGCUGCUAAUAGCGGAUAUGCCGAAAGGUGAAAGAUUAAUUGCCUGAAGAUGAGCUCGCGUCUGAUUAGCUAGUUGGAGAGGUAAACGCUCACCAAGGCGACGAUCAGUAGCUGGUCUGAGAGGACGAUCAGCCACACUGGGACUGAGACACGGCCCAGACUCCUACGGGAGGCAGCAGUGGGGAAUUUUCCGCAAUGGGCGAAAGCCUGACGGAGCAAUACCGCGUGAGGGAGGAAGGCUCUUGGGUUUGUAAACCUCUUUUCUUAGGGAAGAAGCUCUGACGGUACCUAAAGGAAUAAGCAUCUGGCUAACUCCGUGCCAGCAGCCGCGGUACUACGGAGGAUG
rnacentral:rRNA from 1 species